rnacentral:rRNA from 1 species
GGGUGUGGAACACGUGUGCACUGCCUUUAUCUGGGGGAUAGCCUUUCGAAAGGAAGAUUAAUACCCCAUAAUAUGUUGAAUGGCAUCAUUCGACAUUGAAAACUCCGGUGGAUAGAGAUGGGCACGCGCAAGAUUGGAUAGUUGGUGAGGUAACGGCUCACCAAGUCUACGAUCUUUAGGGGGCCUGAGAGGGUGAUCCCCCACACUGGUACUGAGACACGGACCAGACUCCUACGGGAGGCAGCAGUGAGGAAUAUUGGACAAUGGGUGAGAGCCUGAUCCAGCCAUCCCGCGUGAAGGACGACUGCCCUAUGGGUUGUAAACUUCUUUUGUAUAGGGAUAAACCUACCCUCGUGAGGGUAGCUGAAGGUACUACACGAAUAAGCACGGUAACUCCGUGCCAGCAGCGGGUAAAUACGGAGGGUGCAGCGUUAUCCGGGUUAUUGGGUUANAGGGUCCGUAGGCGGAUCUGUAGUCAGUGGUGAAAAUCUCACAGUUAAUCGUGAAACUGGCCAUUGAAUACUGCCAGGGUCUUGAAGUCGGUGGGUGGAAGUCAGUGGGCAAUUAACGUUAUGUACGCGGUGGAACAAUNGCANUAGA